CCUACGGGUGGCAGCAGUGGGGAUUAUUGGACAAUGGGCGAAAGCCUGAUCCAGCCAUGCCGCGUGUGUGAAGAAGGCCUUCGGGUUGUAAAGCACUUUCAGUGGGGAAGAAAGCCUUGGGGCUAAUACCCUCGAGGAAGGACAUCACCCACAGAAGAAGCACCGGCUAACUCCGUGCCAGCAGCCGCGGUAAUACGGAGGGUGCGAGCGUUAAUCGGAAUUACUGGGCGUAAAGCGCGCGUAGGCGGUCUGAUAAGCCGGUUGUGAAAGCCCCGGGCUCAACCUGGGAACGGCAUCCGGAACUGUCAGGCUAGAGUGCAGGAGAGGAAGGUAGAAUUCCCGGUGUAGCGGUGAAAUGCGUAGAGAUCGGGAGGAAUACCAGUGGCGAAGGCGGCCUUCUGGACUGACACUGACGCUGAGGUGCGAAAGCGUGGGUAGCAAACAGGAUUAGAUACCCUGGUAGUC
rnacentral:rRNA from 1 species